rnacentral:tRNA from 1 species
GCCUCCGUGGCGCAGAGGAGAGCGCGCCUGCUUGCGGAGCAGGAGGACGCUGGUUCGAGUCCAGCCGGAGGCACCA